GCCCAGGGCCAGCCCCCCAGGACUUUAUGUCCCAGGCUUGCUCUAGCAAUGGAUUGGGGAAGGAAGAUAUGGCCCCCUGGGGCUUAGGUAAAGGCUGGCUCUGUGUGGGGGUAGCCUGGGGUUCUUCCAGCUUAUUCAGAUAUGUCAGCCGAAAGACUGUUACUGUGGCUUAUCCUGGCCUUGCUAUUGGGUGGAAGGCAUGUGGGGCUAUCUGCCCCUGGAUCUGAGUGGCUCAGUGCGUGUCUUCCUGCAUGGCAGAAUUCUCCGCCUGGAGACUGACUUCGGCCUCUAAGUUGCCUAUGAUGGGGCCUCGCUUGUAACAAUCAUCAUCCCAGGACCUUACCAGGGGCAUGUGGCCGGCCUCUGUGGCAACUACAAUGGUGUCUCAAGUGAUGACUUCACACUGCUGGAUGGUUCAGUCUCCCUACGCAUCUGCCUUCUCUUCUGCUUGGAGAACCAACAUGGGGGAGGACUGCUACACAAAAGGGGAGGGCCAGCAGCCCCCAUGCACCAGCCAUGAAAGCCAACAUUGUCAUCUCCUGCUGGCCAGGGACAAGCCCAUUCAGCAGUUGCCACUCUGCUGUUGAACCCACAGCCUACGUCGAUGGCUGCCUCUAAGAUGUCUGCCUGGGGAACAGCACCACCAUACACUGCAGUGUGAUGGCUAGCUAAGCAACCAUGUGCCAAGUUGCAGGGAUCACAAUUGGCCACUGGCAGGACCUGGCUUCCUGCCGUGAAUGCCACCCUCCCCGUCCCUGGAAUAGAUGGGGCAUGGUGGGUGAGCAAAAAGGAAUGGGUUAGUUAAUGGAACCCUUCCUUGGCUAGAUCAGAACCAGCACCCUAGGAGAAAGGGGGUCCAGUCAUGCCAAGCACCAUGCAAUAUAGCAAAGCCUCUUCCCAGGCAAGGACUAAAGGAAGGUUCUACCUCUGGGUAUGGUGCUACAGCAGUGUAAGCCCAAGGUUUCAAGUCUGAGCCAAGCUGAUACCCAGGGUUCAAGCCCUAUUGCUUACCUGUGUGGACACAGCCUUUGAGGAUCGCCUAGACAAGGUGUGAAAUAGACCAGACCUUAGACAUGGCCUAUGCUACAGACUUAUUGAUAUAAUUACAUCCACACCAUGUAGACAGCAAGAGCCUCUCCUGUCAACAUAGCUACUGCUACUCAUGGGGGAAGAUUAACUACACUAAUGAGCACUCUCUCCAGCAUAGUCUUUAUAAAAGCCCUGCAGCUGUGCUGACCUCACAUGAAGUGUAGCUUGGGCACACCUACAAGCUGCGUCUGGCAUAGCUGUGUCGGGGUGUGAAGAGGGGUGAUUCCCUUCAAUGUUGGAAGAAGCCACUCAUGUAAAUGCUAUUGUACCAGCAAGUUGGUCCACUUUAAUUCUGUAGCCUAGACAUGCCCAUAUGGAGCUAGUCAAAUAUGCAGCCUGCGUGUUAACUUUCACAAGCUUCCACCCCCUGAUCAAACCAGUCUCCUGUCCAACAAAUCACAAAAGCCAAAUUGAACCGAACUUGCCUGUGCAGGGGAGAACUGGC